AGGCCAGACCCAGAGAAGGGCUCAGGAGGCGGGGCCGGGGCGGGGCGUUGACUAUGUCGUAGCACAUGGCCAGGCGGUGCGCGGACUCUGGGAGGCGGAGCUUAGGACGCGCCGACGUAGGGAGGGGCCCAGGGUCCGGGAGGCGGGGCCGAGUCCGGGCUGCGGGCUGCGCUCAGGAGGCGGGCCCUGGGAGGCGGAGCUUGGGGGGAGCCGGUGUCGGGAGGGACCCAGGGACUGGGAGGCCGGACGGGGCUGGGCUCAGGGGCCGAGACUUAGCUAGGCUUGGGGCGGGGCCGAGACGGAGCGAGGGGUCUAGGGUGUGGGAAACGGGGAGGGGUUUGAGGAGGGGAUCGGAAUGUGGCUCAAGUUUGGGAGGCGUUACCUGCGGAGGGUUUGAGGCAGGCCCAGGAACGAGCCCACGGUCUGCCGACGCAUGGCCAGGGGCGGGCCCCAGGAUCCGGAGUUUCAGGAGGGGCCGAGUCCGGGUUUGGGGCCCGGGAGGCGGGGCCAGUUAGGGCGAGGGUCCCUGGGAUCGUCGGGUCAGGCCUUGGGCUAACGGAGGCACUCUCGCAGUUCCUCCGCUUUCAGGAAGUUCUUUUUAGCAGGGGCCUUACGGGUGCGCGCUUCGGUCCUGGAGGACUUAUCCUAGCCUCCUCUCCAUCAGUGCCACCCGUCUGGGGACCGAAAGGAGGGAGCUUUCCCUCUGUCCCCCAGCCUUUGGACUGUCAACAAACAAGCCAUUCAUUCACCAAAUACUUAUUAAGCGUCUACCAUGUGCCUGACAAGGGAGAUGUAACGGGAGAAAAACUAGGUGUGGUCCAGGCCCUCCAGGGGCUGAGGGGCUCGUGGAAGAAGUGGACAUUGAAGUACUUAUCACACAAAUGAGUAUAAAAGUACAAUAGCGAUAUCUGCCACGAAGUCCCUGUAUCCUGAGAUGGAGUCACCUGAGAAUCCACAGCAAGUCCUAACCAGGGAUGGGUCUGGGUGUUUAUGGAAGGUUGGCUUCAGAACUGGGCCAGGGGCACUGCUUUGCUUUUGCUGUUUUGAUCAGCUCUCUGCCUGCAGGAGACAAGGAAAACCAAUGGGAACAGAUAGGGCCUCUCUCUCUGCCACCCAGACCAGAGUGCAGUUGACGCAGGGCAGAGGAGCCCCGAAGUGGAGCAUAGUGUGUCCGGAACUGGUGGGUUCUUGGUCUCACUGACUUCAAGAAUGAAGCCACGGACCCAGGAGAGAUGAGGUCUCGCUAAUUUGCCCAGGCUGGUCCUGAACUCCUGGGUUCAAGUAAUUCUCCUGCCUCAGCCUCUCAAAGUGCUGGGAUUACAGGCGUGAGACACCAUGCCAGGCUGGUGGUGAGUUUUAAAAUUUUCCAGUGUCUCAGUGUUUCUACCUGUAGAAUGCCAAAAAGUAGAUGACAUCUUUGCGAGGAUUAAGCCGACUAGCUUUUUUUAAUUUUUUUUUGAGACAGAAUUUCUCUCUUGUCACCCAGGCUGGAGUGCAAUGGCGUGAUCUUGGCUCACUGCAACCUCUGCCUCCUGGAUUCAAGUGAUUCUCCUCUCUCAGCCUCCAAGUAGCUGGGAUUACAAAGCCAGCUAGCUUUAAGAUACAGUGUUAGGCAUCACAUUUUGGCACGGAGCAGGCACUCUUUUCUUUGCCCUCAGGUGGGACUAAGCCACCACAAGCCUUCCCUGGUGUGUGCAGUGGGUGAUGAAUGCUUGCCUGCUCAGCACCCACUACAUGGUGGGCUGGGUCACAUUACUCUGACUCCCCCUUGAGCUUCAGUCCGUGCCUGGUUCAAGAUGUAUUGACUCAACUCGAGGAUCCAGAGGUGGGAUGUGGCUCUGGCCUGGCCAGAGGACCGAAGAUGCUGCAUGCCAUGGCUACAGCAACUGGUUCAGCUUUGGGCUCAUAUCCUUGUCAGAGCCAAUGAGAUGUAAUCUUGGGAUAUCUGCUGGGCUGUUGGGAAGGGGACAGGCUGCCCUGCUCAUCCCCAUUCCUGAUGCUUAGGGAUCUGAGAAAAUCACUUUUAAAAUUUGGGUGUUUGGAAGACGGGGAGACUGAUGUCUCCUUCUCUCUAUAGACAUCUGAUCAGCUACAGAGCUUGACUGACCUACCCAGAGACAGAAUGAUAUGGUGGUUAAAAGUGUGCCCUGGGCCGAGAUCUUGCCACUGCACUCCAGCCUGGGUGACAGAGUGAGACUCCGUCUCAAAAGAAAAAAAAAAAAGUGUGCUCUGGGCUGGGCGUGGGAGCUUAUGACUGUAAUCCCAGCACUUUGGGAGGCUGAGGCAGGAGGAUCCCUUGAAGUCAGGAGUUUGGGAUCAGACCCUAUCUCUAGAAAAAUGUUUUAAAAAUUAGCUGGGUUGGUGGUGAAUGCCUGUAGUCCCAGCCACUCAGGAGGCUGAGGCGGGAAGAUUGCUGGAGCCUGGGAGUUCAAGGCUGCAGUGAGCCAUGAUCAGGCCACUGCACUCCAGUUUGAGGGACAGAUAGAGACCCCAUCUCCCUAAAGCACAAAAAAGUAUGCUCUGGUGCCGCACUGCCUGGUUAGAUCCUUUGUCCACCACUUAGAUGCAUGUUAUAUAAAUGCUCUCCUCAGUUUCCUCAUCUGUAACUUGGGGAUGAUAAUGCUGCCCCAUUAAGUGGUUAUGGGGACUAAAUGCAUGUGGGCACAUUGGUAAGUAUUCAACAAGCUUGAUUUUUCCUGGAGAGGGAGAAAGAGCAUACAGUGAAGUGGCAUGGUCAGGUGCAUUGGGGCAAGAAUUAUUUCCUCUGGCUUCUGCCUCCUGGGAGGUACUAAGGAUGGAUCUGAAAUGUGUCUGCAGACCCCAGAGUUGGGGACUGCAGAGGGAAAUUGAGAUCAGGGACCCCAGUCUGGCAGAAAUGGGUGCAGCAUGGGGCAUUGGGUUCCUUCCAUCAGAGGCAUGGGGUGUGUUGGAGACAGUCAUGAGAUGUGGCUGAAUCUUGCAAGGGAGCUGCAGUCCUAGGGUUGCUGCUUGAGACAAUGACCACUGUCAGUGGAACCUGGUGACCUUCACCCUUCUGUGUCAGGCUGCAGACAGCAAGAGAUGGCAGGAGAUUACACCCAACAGGAAAAGGGCCAUUGCUAUCCCACAGGUUGCCAUAGGAGGAGAUGACAUCUCUUCCCUCUCCUCCUCCAGCAGUGUCAGCUGGGGAAGAGGUGGGUGGGGGUGCACAAAAGAGUAGACCACAGACCAUGCUCCUUCUCCUCCAGUCUGCUGGGGCCCCAAGAGAGUCUGCAGCCCUUGGCCAGGGACCAGCUGAUACAGGAGAACAAAAGAUCUCAGUCUGGGAUAACAUGGUGGUGCAGCUGAUCCUCUGGAACUCCCUGUGAGAUCAGACUGGAGCCAGUCUCCAACUGAGACCACAUCUCACUUAGCUCCUUCCCUGCCAUAUCCUGUUUUCCUUACUCCUAUCUACUGAGAGUCCUGAAUGAAUUACAUGCACUCAAUCCCUGCCUCAGGCUCUGCUUUUAGGGAACUUGACCUAAGACAGAUAUCUUAGUACUAAAUACUUUGCAAGGCCUCAGAAGCUCUGCUAUUCACAGGCAGGUGAGAUAUUACCUUCCCUACCACCUGGCAGUCAUAGUCUAUGAUGUGAUUCAGCUUUGUGGAAGUGCUUCUGUAAAGAACUUCCCCUAACUUAAGAUGAUCUUAAUUUGCUUACUUGUUUACUGUCCAUUUAGCUGCUCUAAAAUGUGAGCUCCAAAUCAGGGGCCAUGUCUGGUUGGUUACCCAUUUCCUGGGACCUAGAAUGGGCCUAGCUCAGAGCAUGUGCUCACUAUUGAUGGAAUGCAUGUUGAAAGAAUGCAUGAAUCUCAUCUCCUUUUGUGGGUGAAAAACUCAUCCUAUUCUCACUCCUGAUUAACUUUCCUUUUUUUUUUUUUUUUUUUUUUUUCAAAACGGAGCCAUGAUCUGUCACCCAGGCUGGAGUGCAAUGGUGCGAUCUCGUCUCGCUGCAACCUCUGCCUUCUGGAUUAAAGCAAUUCUCCUGCCUCAGCCUCCCGGGUAGCUGGGAUUACAGUUGCAUGCCACCACGCCAGGCUAAUUUUUUGUAUUUUUAAUAGAGACAGGGUUUCACCGUGUUGGCCAGGCUUGUCUUGAACUCCUGACCUCGUGAUCUGCCUGCUUUGGCCUCCCAAAUUCCUGGGAUUACAGGCAUGAGCCACCGUACCCAGCCACUCUUGAUUAACUUAAUGGAAAUAUUUACAGAGAUUCUUUCUCUUCUGGGUUCUAGAGUCUUAUCUGUAACCUCUGCAGGUAAUACAUUUUCCUUCCUGAUAAAAUUAUUUCUAUGGUUGCUUUUACUUGCAAAUCCUCUAAUACUUAUUUAUUCCAUUUCUGAUUGGCAUUAGACAUAAUUCUCAAUUUUUAGUGACAGCACUUUUGUUAACUUACAUAUCAAUCGACUUUGCCUUGAAAUGUGACAUUGACUAGAAGGAUGAAACUUCUAACAUGCUGUAGAACAUAGUUUCACUGGCUAACUUAUUAUUUAGAAGAAGCUAAUAUUGCCAUUAUGAGGGACUUAGGUGGCUCUGAAGAACCAGUUGUAUUUCUGAUGUUUGCAAUGUUAAAUCACAGAUAUUGCCAAUGUGAAAUAGUUUCCUUAUGCUGUGUUCUCAAUACACCUUUUCCAAAGAUAUCCCAAGCUGUAGUCUUAGGAAACUGUGAUUUUUCUUAUUUGGUCUCAUAGAAAUUUGGGGAGAUAUGCGGGAUCUCCAUAAAAUGAGCUCCAGAAAGACACGUGUGUACAUGCACACACACUCACACACACACUCACACAUGUACCACACCACACUUGACUCUGUUUAUUUGGGACCCACGAUUAUCAGAAGUGCUAUUUUCAACAAACACUUCUGAGAAAUAAUCUGAACACUUAAUUGGAUGCAAAAGAGUGAGUAUUUACUAUUCUACCCUUUAAUUAGCAUAAUCAGUGUUUCCAGCAGCAAAAGCAAUUGGAAAAUCGCUAGUUUUAUUAGGUUCAUUAUUCUCCCUUAUCGUAGUGUGGCAUCAGCAUGGCUAUUAUUCUUAAAUUGCCUCUUUAAAACAAGGGCUGGUGCUUCUUACAGGCAAUUACUAACUCUUGGGUUUUGUAGAGAGCCCAAAACUCUUUAGACCCUAUAAUUCAAGGAAAGGCUCCACUUUGGUUUUGCAUUUUGUCUGGUGUCUUUGGCUGACAGAAUUUAUGUCACAAGGUGCACAUGUUUCGGGGAGGCUCAUGGACAGCCCAUCGUGCUUGUGCUUUGGUAGGAAGUACGUGCCAUUAAGGGGAAGGAGUUAGUUACUGAUUCUAGGGAACAAUUGGGUAGAAAGAGAUGGACUCCCUGUGUUUGAAAUUCAAAACUCAAGCUUGGCUCUAAGUGUUUCCUUGCUUUGCUUUGCUCCAGGGGAGUCACUGAGCAGAAGGAAGUGAGUUGCCUGAGAUUCUUCAAAGCCCCAGCCCUUUUGGAGGUUACAUUGUUAUUCUCAGAGCCUUUAUGAUGCAUAAUAAAGACCUAGCUUGGACCAAUAUUAGGAUGAGUUAUCUUGCUAUUAACAUUCUUUUAGGUAGAAGUUGCUGGUCCCAUCUUGCUCACAAUCCUCCAAAGUUUGAAAGUUAUUUUCCAGGAGACUUGGCUUGCACUGAGAGCUGCCCUCCCACCCUCUCUCCAAAUUUCCACUUCGGGGUAGCCUAACAAGGUGCUGUCACAGACCCUUGUCAGCCACGAUGACCCCACCCAGACCAUCCCUCUGCUGUUUCACUCUUUGAUACUCUCUGGAGCUCUCUGGGGAGGGGUGAGACCUGCCGUCUUCUUUGUACGGUUUGCCCAGGUCUUACGGUCAUGGCUGGCUGCUUCUCUCUGAGAACUGGGACUCCUGAACUUGGUGAAAUACCUCAGCCAUCGAUCAUGUUGAAUUAUUGGGGACACUCAUUUAAAAUCCGAGCCUGUUCCAGAUAGACUCUCUCUCUUUCUGCCCUGACCGUGAGAGAAGCCCUGCUGGAUGGUGGAGAUGCUAGUGGGCUGUGAGCAAGGGAUGCAAAGGCUGCCGGGAAUCCCAUCUUUCCAGCAUCAUCUGCUAAAGCACAUUAGUUCCUGGGUAUCUGGAUGGGUUCUAGCAGCAUUACUGUCAUUGAAGGAAAAAUGAUAGCCAUAUUAAAGGUUAAUGCAGCAAUCUCCAAAUAGGCUGCCUCGAAGGGACGCAGGACAAGGGUAGGUUUUCCUUGUGAUGGACAGGAGGCAGGCGGCCCUCCCACGGCCCUGCCUGGCAAUGCAGGUGUGUCCCCAAAAGACACUGGGGGCCAGCUGGAGUGCUAUGCCGAGGCGGGCUGACCUGGGCCGUGGGUUCGCUGAUUGCAGCGGUUUCCUGCCAGCUCCUUGGAGAGCUGGCAGAUGGCCCAGCCCCACAGCAGGAUCCGCGAAUGGCAGAGCGAGAUACAACAAUUUGAUAUCCACUUGCCAGAGGAGCCCGGUGUCGUCAGUCGCCUGGCUCUGUGCCCAACUUCUUUUUGCAUAAACACUUAUGAAUUCAGCCAAGAGGAAAAGCACUCUGAUUAUUAAUUGAGCAGAAGGAAACAAAGUUCUGCAGAUAAACACCAAUGAGACAAAAAACCACGAAUAAGAAAAAUGACAGAGAAGAAGAACCUUCCCAGAAGCCUCCUGCCAGUGAACGGCCACCAUAGCAAGAGCAUGGAGGCCCUGGGUUUUGAACUAUGAGAUAAGGAAGAUGAUGAAAACCUCCCUAGCAGCCAGGCAAGCACAAGAUUCCUGUGAAAUCCAGGUCUAAGUGUUUUGACUACAGAAGUAAUAUUAUGUCAUAGGUGAGAGCUGUGAGUUGCUGAACCCAAAGUGAGUUCAAAUCCAAGUUCUGCCUCCUGCAACCUUUGUGACUUUGAGAAGUUCCAACACCACUUUGUGCCUCAGUUUUCUCAUCUGUUAAAUGGGCAUAAUCACAGCUCUUGCCUCAGAGUUGUUGUAAAUUAAUACAUGUAAAGCACUGAAAUCAGCCUGGUAUACACUAAGUGUUAUGAACGUUAUUUUCUUGGAAGGACAGAACUUAUUUUCAUGGUCUAAGCCAGAAAAUCUAAAAAAUGUGAGAGAAGAGGAAAGAAUCUAGAGUGUCACCAUGAGGAGGAAAAGUCAACUUGAAGCAGGACAGGGUCAUUGACAAUUUCCUGUGAUUCUACAGCUGCCUUGUAAACUAUGGUAGCUCCUAGCCACUUGUCGUUUAGAUUUUGUGCUUUAGAAAUGAAUUAAGGCCGGACAUGGUGGCUCACACCUGUAAUCCCAGCACUUUGGGAGGCCAAGGUGGGCAGAUCACCUGAGGUCAGGAGUUCAAGAUCAGCCUGGCCAACAUGGUGAAAUCCUGUCUCUACAAAAAUACAAAAAUUAGCCGGGCAUGAUGGUGGGUUCCUGUAAUCCUAGGUACUCAGGAGGCUGAGGCAGGAGAAUUGCUUGAACCUGGGAGAUGGAGGUUGCAGUGAGACAAGGUUGUGCCACUGCACUCCAGCCUGGGGAAUAGAGUGAGAUUCUGUCUCAAAAAAAAAAAAAAAAAAAAAAAUUAGUUAAAAUAAGAGAAAAUUGAAAAUUCAGCUCUUCAUUCUCACCAGCCACAUUUCAAGGGCUCAACAGCCCAUGUGGGUGGCUAGCAGCUCCCAUAUUGGACAGUGCAGAGUAGAGCAAGUCUGCCAUUGCAGAAUGUUUGAUUGGACCAUGACCGAAUAGUCUAAUGCAGUGGUCCCCAAUUUUUUUUAGCACCAAGGACCAGUUUCCAUGGAUUUGUGGGGGGAAGUUUCGGGAUGAUUCAAGUGCAUUAAAUUUAUUGUGUACUUUAUUUCUAUUGUUAUGAACAUUAUAAUAUAUAAUGAAAUCAUUAUACAACUCACCAUAAUGUAGAAUCAGUGGGAGCCCUGAGCUUGUUUUCCUGCAACUAGAUAAUCCCAUCUCAGGGUGGUGGGAGACAGUGACAGAUCAUCAGGCAUUAGAUUCUCAUAAGGAGCACACAACCUGGAUCCCUUCCACAUGCAGUUCACAAUAGGGUUGUUGCUCCUAUGAGAAUCUAAUGCCACUGCUGAUCUGAUAGGAGACAGAGCUCAGCCAGGGGGAUCAGCUGUAAAUACAGAUGAAGAUUCACUCGCUAGCCUGCUGCUCACCUCCUUCUGUGCAUCCCAGUUCCUAACAGGCCACAGACCACUACUGGUCCGUGGUCUGGGGACUAGGGACCUCUGGUCUAUUGGAUAACACUGGCUUGGAGCAUACUGAUCAGCCAAAGAAGCACUGAGAUGAUUUGGCCUCCAUUAGUAAGAAUGAUGGACUUUUUUUUU